rnacentral:rRNA from 1 species
CCCUAUUAUUUUAGAAUGUUAAGUUUUGUUUGCUUGAGUAGUAUUAGUUAUGUUCUUGAAACUUAAAGAAUUUGGCGGUAUCUCAUUCCGUCCAGAGGAAUCUGUCUCGUUAUCGAUAGUCCACGUUGGACCUUACUUAGUUGAUAUGGUUUGUAUACCGCCGUUUAUUGAUUAUCUUUUUAGGGUUUAUGUAAUUUUCUUUAUUCUUUAUUUUGAUUUAUUUCAGGUCAAGGUGCAGCUUGUUUCUAAGUGAAUGAUGGAUUACAUUGUUAUUUGUUUUUGGAUUGUUUAUUUUAAUUUGGGCAUGAAAUUGGAUUUGGUUGUAAUGAUUUGUAGACUGUUGUUAUGAUAAUUGGUUCUGAGAUAUGCACACAUCGCCCGUCGCUCUCGUUUAUUAAUGAGAUAAGUC